UUGCUUCCACAGCACAUAUACUGAAAAUUAGAACAAUACAGAGAAAAUUAGCAUGGCCUCUACGCCAGGAUGACAUGCAAAUUCCUGGAGUGUUCCAUUAAAAU
ensembl:snRNA U6 U6 spliceosomal RNA